rnacentral:misc_RNA from 1 species
GGAAGUAAAAGUCUUAACAAGGUCUCCGUUGGUGAACCAGCGGAGGGAUCAUUACCGAGUUAUCAACUCCCAAACCCCUGUGAACAUACCCAACGUUGCUUCGGCGGGACCGCCCCGGCGCCCUCGGCGUCCCGGAACCAGGCGCCCGCCGGAGGACCCAAACUCUUGUUUAAACCAUAGUGGCAUAUUCUGAGUCUCACAAGAAAAAUGAAUCAAAACUUUCAACAACGGAUCUCUUGGCUCUG